rnacentral:rRNA from 1 species
UAAGCGACUAAGCGUACACGGUGGAUGCCCUGGCAGUCAGAGGCGAUGAAGGACGUGCUAAUCUGCGAUAAGCGUCGGUAAGGUGAUAUGAACCGUUAUAACCGGCGAUUUCCGAAUGGGGAAACCCAGUGUGAUUCGUCACACUAUCAUUAACUGAAUCCAUAGGUUAAUGAGGCGAACCGGGGGAACUGAAACAUCUAAGUACCCCGAGGAAAAGAAAUCAACCGAGAUUCCCCCAGUAGCGGCGAGCGAACGGGGAGCAGUCCCAGAGCCUGAAUCAGUGUGUGUGUUAGUGGAAGCGUCUGGAAAGGCGUGCGAUACAGGGUGACAGCCCCGUACACAAAAAUGCACAUAUUGUGAGCUCGAUGAGUAGGGCGGGACACGUGGUAUCCUGUCUGAAUAUGGGGGGACCAUCCUCCAAGGCUAAAUACUCCUGACUGACCGAUAGUGAACCAGUACCGUGAGGGAAAGGCGAAAAGAACCCCGGCGAGGGGAGUGAAAAAGAACCUGAAACCGUGUACGUACAAGCAGUGGGAGCACGCUUAGGCGUGUGACUGCGUACCUUUUGUAUAAUGGGUCAGCGACUUAUAUUCUGUAGCAAGGUUAACCGAAUAGGGGAGCCGAAGGGAAACCGAGUCUUAACUGGGCGUUAAGUUGCAGGGUAUAGACCCGAAACCCGGUGAUCUAGCCAUGGGCAGGUUGAAGGUUGGGUAACACUAACUGGAGGACCGAACCGACUAAUGUUGAAAAAUUAGCGGAUGACUUGUGGCUGGGGGUGAAAGGCCAAUCAAACCGGGAGAUAGCUGGUUCUCCCCGAAAGCUAUUUAGGUAGCGCCUCGUGAAUUCAUCUCCGGGGGUAGAGCACUGUUUCGGCAAGGGGGUCAUCCCGACUUACCAACCCGAUGCAAACUGCGAAUACCGGAGAAUGUUAUCACGGGAGACACACGGCGGGUGCUAACGUCCGUCGUGAAGAGGGAAACAACCCAGACCGCCAGCUAAGGUCCCAAAGUCAUGGUUAAGUGGGAAACGAUGUGGGAAGGCCCAGACAGCCAGGAUGUUGGCUUAGAAGCAGCCAUCAUUUAAAGAAAGCGUAAUAGCUCACUGGUCGAGUCGGCCUGCGCGGAAGAUGUAACGGGGCUAAACCAUGCACCGAAGCUGCGGCAGCGACACUAUGUGUUGUUGGGUAGGGGAGCGUUCUGUAAGCCUGUGAAGGUGUACUGUGAGGUAUGCUGGAGGUAUCAGAAGUGCGAAUGCUGACAUAAGUAACGAUAAAGCGGGUGAAAAGCCCGCUCGCCGGAAGACCAAGGGUUCCUGUCCAACGUUAAUCGGGGCAGGGUGAGUCGACCCCUAAGGCGAGGCCGAAAGGCGUAGUCGAUGGGAAACAGGUUAAUAUUCCUGUACUUGGUGUUACUGCGAAGGGGGGACGGAGAAGGCUAUGUUGGCCGGGCGACGGUUGUCCCGGUUUAAGCGUGUAGGCUGGUUUUCCAGGCAAAUCCGGAAAACUAAGGCUGAGGCGUGAUGACGAGGCACUACGGUGCUGAAGCAACAAAUGCCCUGCUUCCAGGAAAAGCCUCUAAGCACCAGGUAACAUCAAAUCGUACCCCAAACCGACACAGGUGGUCAGGUAGAGAAUACCAAGGCGCUUGAGAGAACUCGGGUGAAGGAACUAGGCAAAAUGGUGCCGUAACUUCGGGAGAAGGCACGCUGAUAUGUAGGUGAAGUCCCUCGCGGAUGGAGCUGAAAUCAGUCGAAGAUACCAGCUGGCUGCAACUGUUUAUUAAAAACACAGCACUGUGCAAACACGAAAGUGGACGUAUACGGUGUGACGCCUGCCCGGUGCCGGAAGGUUAAUUGAUGGGGUCAGCGCAAGCGAAGCUCUUGAUCGAAGCCCCGGUAAACGGCGGCCGUAACUAUAACGGUCCUAAGGUAGCGAAAUUCCUUGUCGGGUAAGUUCCGACCUGCACGAAUGGCGUAAUGAUGGCCAGGCUGUCUCCACCCGAGACUCAGUGAAAUUGAACUCGCUGUGAAGAUGCAGUGUACCCGCGGCAAGACGGAAAGACCCCGUGAACCUUUACUAUAGCUUGACACUGAACAUUGAGCCUUGAUGUGUAGGAUAGGUGGGAGGCUUUGAAGUGUGGACGCCAGUCUGCAUGGAGCCGACCUUGAAAUACCACCCUUUAAUGUUUGAUGUUCUAACGUUGACCCGUAAUCCGGGUUGCGGACAGUGUCUGGUGGGUAGUUUGACUGGGGCGGUCUCCUCCUAAAGAGUAACGGAGGAGCACGAAGGUUGGCUAAUCCUGGUCGGACAUCAGGAGGUUAGUGCAAUGGCAUAAGCCAGCUUGACUGCGAGCGUGACGGCGCGAGCAGGUGCGAAAGCAGGUCAUAGUGAUCCGGUGGUUCUGAAUGGAAGGGCCAUCGCUCAACGGAUAAAAGGUACUCCGGGGAUAACAGGCUGAUACCGCCCAAGAGUUCAUAUCGACGGCGGUGUUUGGCACCUCGAUGUCGGCUCAUCACAUCCUGGGGCUGAAGUAGGUCCCAAGGGUAUGGCUGUUCGCCAUUUAAAGUGGUACGCGAGCUGGGUUUAGAACGUCGUGAGACAGUUCGGUCCCUAUCUGCCGUGGGCGCUGGAGAACUGAGGGGGGCUGCUCCUAGUACGAGAGGACCGGAGUGGACGCAUCACUGGUGUUCGGGUUGUCAUGCCAAUGGCACUGCCCGGUAGCUAAAUGCGGAAGAGAUAAGUGCUGAAAGCAUCUAAGCACGAAACUUGCCCCGAGAUGAGUUCUCCCUGACUCCUUGAGAGUCCUGAAGGAACGUUGAAGACGACGACGUUGAUAGGCCGGGUGUGUAAGCGCAGCGAUGCGUUGAGCUAACCGGUACUAAUGAACCGUGAGGCUUAACCU